rnacentral:lncRNA from 1 species
CGGAGACGAGUUGGCUAGGUGCAAUGAGCGGGACGAGCUCUGCGGCGGUGCGGACGGCGUGGUGGCGCGAAUCUGUUUCUGACCGGGGCUGGCCUGUCGUGUAUGUGUCCAUUUCCACCUCCGCCUCCGAUUCGUGGCCUUCUCCUUGUAGCAGAGGUUCCGUUGGCCAUAGCAGAGGCCGAAUCAGACCGACGAUGCCUUGUUGUUCGCGCAGCAACACGAUGCACUACGGUGCGUACUUUGUCAGUCAAAUCUUUGAACUUGGAGCUGAUCUGAUGUCUUGCUUAUGUUACCUUUCUUGUAGCUACUGACCUACGUGUACUCCCACUCUAUGCUUUAGGAGUUGCCGUAUUGAUAUUUUGAGGCGUGAGGAUAUUCGAAAGAAAAAAGUUCAUUUU